UGGGCUACACACGUGCUACAAUGGUCGGUACAAAGGGUUGCCAAGCCGCGAGGUGGAGCUAAUCCCAUAAAACCGAUCGUAGUCCGGAUCGCAGUCUGCAACUCGACUGCGUGAAGUCGGAAUCGCUAGUAAUCGUGAAUCAGAAUGUCACGGUGAAUACGUUCCCGGGCCUU
rnacentral:rRNA from 1 species